ensembl:lncRNA
CAGCGCACUGUGCCCACGCCUUGAAGGCCCCGAGAAGCCUGUCUGUUCUUGCCAUCGGCAAAGACCGCACAGAGAGGAAGCUGGAGCUGUGGGCGAACAAUAAACAGCAUCUUGAGAAGCAGUGUAGCCAGGCGUGGUGGCGAACGCCUGUGAUCCCGGCACUCGGGAGGCUGAGGCAGGAGGAUCACUAUGAGUUCAAGAACAGCCUGGAUUACAUAGUGAGUUCAAGGCCAGCCUGGAUCACAUGAGUGGGCACACACCAUCGGGCAGGCCGUGCCCUGGCCCAGGGCGCCCAGUGGGAAGGACCCAGGCGUUCAAGCUGUCCAGGUCUCGGUAGCCAGCCAUGUGUUUGGAGCCCUUCCUGUCAUCGGGAGAAAGAGUGACAUCACUUUCUGACCACAGCGGUGUGUCUGGCUGAGCUCUGUAACAACGGGUAGACGGACAAACCUCUGCAAGGAAG